ACCAAAUCGAAAACCAAGCCAUUUGGUGACAGGGACCCACACACAGCUGUCUGCAUUUGUUAGUCCUGUGUUUUGAGGAAGCUGAUGACUGUGAGGGGAUGAAGAACUUAAGAUCAAAGAGGAAAAGGAACCAGAGUCAACCAAGCAAAGAGGGCCCCUGCUGUCAGGAACAAGGAAGAAGUGAUGUGUGUGUCUUGUCUGUUUGUCUGUCUGUCUCUUCUCUGUGUGUCUAUGUGUAUCUGUCUAUCUGCAUGUCUGCCUCUCUCCCUCUCUCUCUCUCUCUCUGCUGGGGGGUGUAUUCAGUGUGGGUGUGUGUCUAACAUCAGCUCUGCAAGGCUCAGUCCAUCCUCAACAUUCGGGUGCUGCCUGGGAAACCUGCAAACCUUCAAACUUGAUGUGAAUGAACACCAAAGUCGAGAUAGAGUCUACAAAAGAGCUUCUUUCUACAGCCUUCACUUCUGAUGAGGUCAUCCAAAUAUCCCUGGAGCCAGCUGCCACCAGUCAGGGCUUUGGAUGCCUGCUCUGCAAUCCCUGCUGACCCACCACACUCCUUCACUUGGAAAGUCCCGACUCUGGCAAAGAGCUGCCCUUGAAGUAGGUACUUCAAAGGGGCCACAGGCUACUGGAAAGCGUUCAGAUCUCUUAUCUGAGGAGCAGUAAAUGCAGUGACACCACAAGCCUUUGGAGUUUCUGAAGACACCACAUGAAGUUAACAGGUUGAGCUAAUCAACCCAAGAGGAAGAAGGAACACAUGAACUGGAAAUAUUCAGCUGAAAUGGAUUGGUAUUUCAAAGCACAAAGCUCCUGAGAGAUGCUCUUCUGAACAGGAGGACAACAGGAGGGAAACAGUAUGUUCAUGGC
rnacentral:lncRNA from 1 species